rnacentral:rRNA from 1 species
CGGGGUGAGUAACGCGUGGGUAACCUGCCUCAUACAGGGGGAUAACAGUUAGAAAUGACUGCUAAUACCGCAUAAGCGCACAGUGCUACAUGGCACAGUGUGAAAAACUCCGGUGGUAUGAGAUGGACCCGCGUCUGAUUAGCUAGUUGGUGGGGUAACGGCCUACCAAGGCGACGAUCAGUAGCCGGCCUGAGAGGGUGAACGGCCACAUUGGGACUGAGACACGGCCCAA